UACGUAGGGUGCGAGCGUUGUCCGGAAUUACUGGGCGUAAAGGGCGCGUAGGCGGAUAUUUAAGUCGGGGGUGAAAGCCCAGGGCUCAACCCUGGAAUUGCCUUCGAUACUGGAUAUCUUGAGUUCGGGAGAGGUGAGUGGAAUGCCGAGUGUAGAGGUGAAAUUCGUAGAUAUUCGGCGGAACACCAGUGGCGAAGGCGACUCACUGGCCCGAUACUGACGCUGAGGCGCGAAAGCGUGGGGAGCAACAGGG
rnacentral:rRNA from 1 species